rnacentral:rRNA from 1 species
UUGCACGCUGGCGGCCGGCCUAACCCCUGCACGUCGAGCGGAUGAAGGGAGCUUGCUCCUGGAUUCAGCGGCGGACGGGUGAGUAAUGCCUAGGAAUCUGCCUGGUAGUGGGGGAUAACGUCCGGAAACGGGCGCUAAUACCGCAUACGUCCUGAGGGAGAAAGUGGGGGAUCUUCGGACCUCACGCUAUCAGAUGAGCCUAGGUCGGAUUAGCUAGUUGGUGGGGUAAAGGCCUACCAAGGCGACGAUCCGUAACUGGUCUGAGAGGAUGAUCAGUCACACUGGAACUGAGACACGGUCCAGACUCCUACGGGAGGCAGCAGUGGGGAAUAUUGGACAAUGGGCGAAAGCCUGAUCCAGCCAUGCCGCGUGUGUGAAGAAGGUCUUCGGAUUGUAAAGCACUUUAAGUUGGGAGGAAGGGCAGUAAGUUAAUACCUUGCUGUUUUGACGUUACCAACAGAAUAAGCACCGGCUAACUUCGUG